rnacentral:ncRNA from 1 species
AUGAUGAUACUUCCGCCGAAGGGCGGCUCGGCGAGAACCGCGGAGGGGUAACGGCCCAUGG